rnacentral:rRNA from 1 species
UACGUAGGGGGCUAGCGUUGUCCGGAAUCACUGGGCGUAAAGGGCGCGUAGGCGGCCCUGGUAAGUCUGCGGUGAAAGCCCGGGGCUCAACCCCGGGUCGGCCGCGGGUACUGCCGGGCUGGAGUGCCGUAGGGGCAGGCGGAAUUCCUGGUGUAGCGGUGAAAUGCGCAGAUAUCAGGAGGAACACCGGUGGCGAAGGCGGGUCUCUGGGCCGAUACUGACGCUGAGGAGCGAAAGCGUGGGGAGCGAACAGG